rnacentral:rRNA from 1 species
GUAGGUGGCAAGCGUUGUCCGGAAUUAUUGGGCGUAAAGCGCGCGCAGGCGGUUCUUUAAGUCUGAUGUGAAAGCCCACGGCUCAACCGUGGAGGGUCAUUGGAAACUGGAGAACUUGAGUACAGAAGAGGAAAGCGGAAUUCCACGUGUAGCGGUGAAAUGCGUAGAGAUGUGGAGGAACACCAGUGGCGAAGGCGGCUUUCUGGUCUGUAACUGACGCUGAGGCGCGAAAGUGUGGGGAGCAAACAGGAUUAGAUACCCUGGUAGUCCACGCCGUAAACGAUGAGUGCUAAGUGUUAGGGGGUUUCCGCCCCCCUUAGUGCUGCAGCUAACGCAUUAAGCACUCCGCCUGGGAGUACGGCCGCAAGGCUG